rnacentral:lncRNA from 1 species
GGUUAGUCAACUGCUAGCUACCAGUGACAGUGAUAGAUAAGGACAUACAGCCAGAGGAAACAGUCAUACAACGCCUUAACAAGAUGUCUAGUGGUCCCUUCUCCUGCUUCUCCAAACAGGAAAUAUUCCUUCUCCAACCUCCACUAUGGUUCUUGUUGCAACAGAAUAUUCUGGCCCCACCAGCCCCAGAUGACCAACCUGGACCCCCAACAGGACCAACGAUCUACCCAGGGCCGAGCUCCUGAUGCUGGGUAUACAUGUCUGCAGCAUGAUGCUGGUGCUGCUACUGCUGGAUCAAGUGAUGUGAUGUACGCCCAGAUUCAACUCAAAAAGUUGGGCAAGAAAAAGAAAAAAACCCCACAUCAGGCAGAUUCGGUCUAUUCUCAAGUGAAUCCAGUCACAGCCCCAA